rnacentral:rRNA from 1 species
CCUACGGGUGGCAGCAGUGAGGAAUAUUGGUCAAUGGGCGGAAGCCUGAACCAGCCAAGUAGCGUGCAGGAUGACGGCCCUACGGGUUGUAAACUGCUUUUAUACGGGAAUAACGCGCCUUACGUGUAGGGCUUUUCAUGUACCGUAUGAAUAAGGACCGGCUAAUUCCGUGCCCGCAACCGCGGUAAUACGGAAGGUCCGGGCGGUACCCGGAUUUAUUGGGGUUAAAGGGAGCGUAGGCCGCAUGUCAAACGUGCUGUGAAAUGUGCGGGGUCAACCCGGGCCUUGCAGCGCGAACUGGCGUGCUUGAGUCCGCGGAAAGCAGGCGGAAUGCGUCGUGUAGCGGUGAAAUGCUUAGAUAUGACGAAGAACCCCGAUUGCGAAGGCAGCUUGCUGCAGCGGAACUGACGCUGAUGCUCGAAAGCGCGGGUAUCGAACAGGAUUAGAUACCCUAGUAGUC